AGCGAACGCUAGCGGCGGGCCUAACACAUGCAAGUCGAACGGCAGCACGGGCUUCGGCCUGGUGGCGAGUGGCGAACGGGUGAGUAAUGCAUCGGAACGUGCCCAUGUUGUGGGGGGAUAACUACGCGAAAGCGUGGCUAAUACCGCAUACGCCUUGAGGGGGAAAGCGGGGGGAUUCUUCGGAACCUCGCGCAAUUGGAGCGGCCGAUGUCAGAUUAGCUUGUUGGUGAGGUAAAGGCUCACCAAGGCGACGAUCUGUAGCGGGUCUGGGAGGAUGAUCCGCCACACUGGGACUGAGACACGGCCCAGACUCCUACGGGAGGCAGCAGUGGGGAAUUUUGGACAAUGGGCGAAAGCCUGAUCCAGCCAUGCCGCGUGUCUG
rnacentral:rRNA from 1 species